rnacentral:lncRNA from 1 species
CUUGAUUCCCCUGAUUACCUGCCGGAAGAAAAACACAGCAUGAGCCAAAUGCCCAGUACGGAUAUAGAAUACAACUAAUGAACCGAAAUAACUAACUCAAUUAAAUGAAAUGAAACGAACGAACUGAAACGAAACGAACAAAACUAACACAACGAAAUAAUAGGCUGAAUCAGAUGGCUGGGUGUUAUUUCAUACCGAGCUCAGAAUAAAUAGUAAUAUACCUUGCCACACAGGCAAGUCAAAUAAUGCCACACAGGCAAUCACACAUCGGACUGCGCAAUCCAGAUGCGUGCAAAAUCGGAAGGCGUGUUUGGCACAAACAUCACCAAUCCGCAGAACAGAACAGAACAGAAACUAGGGUCGACCCAUACGCCUCCCACAACAAAAUACCAAAUGGCCAACUCCCACAGGAGCACAAAACAGAGACGUCGUGGGCUGAUCACACCGCCACGGAAGGUGUCAUGCCUCGGUGCCAAGAGGACAUGCCUGUGGUACCCCCACAGGUGGUUAUAGCUCAGGUAUACCCUACGGUAUUCUAACAAAAUAUAAUGUCACAACACAUGCGACAAAAUAUCAACACAAAGGGGUUCUAACAUGUACAUGUUAAAUCGAACGAAUCGUCAACACAAGUCUAUUUUUGAAAAAUAUUUUGCCCCAUGAAGUUGGUCAAACAAGUCCUCAAUCCUCGGCAAUGGAUACCGAUUUCUGAUGGUAAUCUUGUUCAACUCUCUGUAGUCUAUACACAGCCUCAUAGACCCAUCCUUCUUCUUCACAAACAAGACUGGAGCACCCCACGAUGAAAUACUCGGGCGAAUUACACCACGAUCCAACAGUUCUUGCAACUGUUCCUUCAACUCCUGCAACUCCAAUGGUGCCAUCCGAUACGGCACCUUAGAAAUAGGCUCCACACUAGGAAUAAGCUCAAUAGCAAACUCUACUUUCCGCUGUGGUGGCAACCCUGACAACUCCUCAGGAAACACAUCUGAAAAGUCACAAACAAUUGGAACAUCCUCAAUAUGAGACUCACCCUUAGAGGUAUCCUUCACAAACGCCAAAUACCCCUCACAACCCUUUGCUACCAACUUGCCAGCCUUCAAAGUUGAAAUCAACUUCAACACCCUACUCGGUUGUGAACCCUGAAACACGAACUCCGGAGACUUCACAUCUCCAAAUAUAACCUUCUUCGCCUGACAAUCGAUAGUGGCACGGUGCUUAUCCAACCAGUCCAUCCCAAGAAUGAUAUCGAAAUCGUGCAUACACAUCGGAAGGAGAUUAACCCUACGAAUCUUAUCCCUAAAACUGAUCGAACACCCUCGAUAUAAAUCAGAAAUAACAACUGAAGUCCCCAUCGGGGUAGCAAUAGACAUAACAGAAUCCAAAGAUUGAGAUGGCACACCUAGGUGCCGAAUAAAAGACUGAGCAACAACAGAAUGAGUAGAACCCGUAUCAAACAAAAUAGACGCCUCAUGAUUUCCAACUAAAAGAGUACCAAAAAUAGUACCUGGUUCACCUGCCGCCUGGUUAUACGUCAAGGCAAACACUCGACCACCCUGACGCUGACCUCCAUUGCCACCAUUAUCACCACCUCCACCAUUUCUGCGUGGACCGGUACAAUCCCUAGCAAUGUGACCCAUCUGUCCACACAAGAAGCAUGCACCGGUGAGUCUGUGGCACUGCCUCCCCGGAUGAUUAGCCCCACAAGUAACACAAGGAGCUAUCGGAAUAAGAUUCGGGUUACCCCCACCAGCUGGUCCUGGGUAACGACCCUGAUUUUGCCCCUGCGGACGAUUCUGUCCCUGCUGACGAUUUUGUCCAUACCAAGGUAACUGAAGCUGACGAUUCUGCCCUUGUUGAGGCAUCUGCUGAUAACCCAUGUUCUGAUUUUGACCACGCCACUGCCCCUGCUGAAUACCCCGAUUUCUGUUCCACUGACCACCUUGAUUUCUCCCAUGCUGACACGAAGCUUGACCCUGCUGGUCAUCUCUGUCCCUCUUUCGACUCCCUUCCGGUUUGGAAGUCCGAAAGUCCUGCCGCUCCAUCUCAAUGUUCUUGGCCGCAUUAGCCACCAUCGAUACAUCCGCAAACUUGGUGUUAAUGAGAUGUUGGCGAUACCUAUAAUGAAUCUGCCACUUGAACUUCUCCACCCGCAAAACCUGUCAACCUGGUGAACCUGGUCAUGAAAUCGGUAAUGGACUCAUCAUCCUUCUGCCGAAUGGAUAGAUACUCUCUAGCAUAGGCCUCUUUAUCAGCAGCUGGAAAGUACUGCUGAUAAAAGACCUCACAAAACUCUGCCCAAUGAAGUGUCUCCACGUAGCCAUCACCCUUUGUUGUCUUCAGUGCUUUCCACCACCUCUGUGCAUCCCCCUCUAGCUUGUAAGCAGCAAGUAACACUCAUUGAUUAUCUGAGCAUCCCAACACAUCAAAAAUCUUCUCUAGGUGAGCAAUCCAAUUUUCCACAUCAAUUGGAGUUAGAGCAGAACUGAAAGACUGUGGCUUCUGCUUCUGAAACCUCUCCAACCACACAUACAUUGGGACCACCUGCUGAUCAAGGCCAUCCACAUUUCCUUCCUCUUCGUUUGUUUGUGGACCAUUAUUUCCCGAGUGCCCCUGCUCGGGAAUUUCUGGCGGCUGUUUCAUUGCCUGUACAACCUGUGCCACUAACUACGGUAAAGCCUGAUUAACCGCCUGAUUCACCAAGUUAACUAGUUGAGCAUUUAUCUGAUCAUUAGGUUGCUCAUUGGGUUGAACAUCACCCCUUCCCCUAUUAUUACCUCUCCUCCCAGUAACUCUAGUGGAUCGACGAGUCAUCUAAGAAAGAGAUCAAUGAAUAUAAACAGAACAGAUUAAAACAGAUUCAAAUAUAGCUGAACAAAAAAUCAAACUGAACAAAAACCUAACCCAGAAGUCUACCCAUAACUCACAAGUCAAACCUAAAUAGGUUUUCUACAAGAAAGAACCUGGCUCUGAUACCAACUCUGUAACACCCCCUUUCCGAAAUAGAAAGAGAGGUUACUCAAAACAUAACAAAACUGAUGAAUUUAAUAGCAAGGCUCAAAGCCACAAAAGAAUAGUCUUAAUAACUGAUAAAUACCACAAGUCAACCAUAAUAAAUCUCAAACUGUCUCAAACCACAAUCUAAAAUAAUUAUUACAAUUCCAAGUAAACUGACACAUCAAGUCUAAACAGAAUAUUUCUAAAUCAUUGGAAUGAAUGGAGCUCUCAUCACACUUGCCCUUGAUCCCCCUGAUUACCUGCCGGAAGAAAAACACAGCAUGAGCCAAAUGCCCAGUACGGAUAUAGAAUACAAAUAAUGAACCGAAAUAACUAACUCAAUUAAAUGAAAUGAAACGAAACGAACUGAAACGAAACGAACAAAACUAACACAACGAAAUAAUAGGCUGAAUCAAAUGGCUGGGUGUUAUUUCAUACCGAGCUCAGAAUAAAACAGAAAUAUACCUUGCCACACAGGCAAGUCAAAUAAUGUCACAUAGGCAAAUCAAAUAAUGCCACACAGGCAAGUCACACACAUUGGACCGCGAAUCCAAUGCAUGUAAAAUCGGAAGGUGUGUUUGGCACAAACAUCACCAAUCCGCAGAACAGAACAGAACAGAAAACUAGGGUCGACCCAUACGCCUCCCACAACAAAACACCAAAUGGCCAACUCCCACCGGAGCACAAAACGGAGACGCCGUGGACUGAUCACACCGCCACGGAAGGUGUCAUGCCUCGGUGCCAAGAGGACAUGCCUGUGGUACCCCCACAGGUGGUUAUAGCUCAGGUAUACCCUACGGUAUUCUAACAA